UAUAGGCAACUGAAACGCAAGGCAAUUGAACCAACGGUGAGCGCGGCAGGUAACGACGGCGACGGAAGAACAGACCGCCUCCGGCGCGACGGCAAGAAGAUGGCGGUGCUGGGGGCGGCAGGUGGCGGUGCGUUGAAACUCCUGCGGUGUUUUUUUCUUUCCCCGACGAAGUCCCUUGGGGAAGAGGGAGAAAAGUAUGGAGAAUUUUGUGGUCAUGAAUUCGAAAAAGGAACCACAACACUAGAGUGGGACAUAAGUGGCAUUUUCUAAGAUGGAUAAUUGCUUUGUACAGAUACUUCUUCAAAUGGGUUAGAGAAUGGGGACUUAAUUUGAGCAUCAAUCAUCCUCUCAUGGGUUAGAGAUAUUCACCAAAAAUGAGUCUCCAAUGGAGCUUGAAUCUGGAAAUUUUGGGUGCAUUCAUUACAGGAGGAAAUGCAAAAUCAGGGCACCCUAUUGUGAUGAGAUUUUUUAUUGUAGGCAUAGCCAUAAUGAAGCAAAGGUGUGGUCUUUAUUCUCUUAUUUGCUAUUUCCCCAUUUGCUCUUCUUUUCCCUGUUGAGAUGAGAUAAGAUUUGUUCCCUAAUUCUCACCUGCUAAUACCCCCUUCUCUAUUUAUGAUUGAACUGAACACACACUGGACAUAGAUCCUGGACAUAGUUUGCAUGGGGAAGUACUUUUGCCAGAAAUGCAAAUUCUUCUACGAUGACGCAUUUUUCAUUGUGUUACCCGUUGUUUAUUCUUCAAAAAAUUGGUAAAGCUGCUUGAUUAAAGAAGGUUAUGCAUAUCAGGUUUACUUUCAGCAAACAAAAGAUAGUUACAACUCAUGAAUGAAGAAGAGACUGGGUAUGCACGGAAGUCCAGUGCCUGAAACUCAACUAAUAGGCACCAGCGUCUGAAGUAGAACAAACAACUCCUUUCCAGGCGAGGUUCAGGCGGAACUAAUUGAUUUGGAAAGGAAGACGUUCUUGAUGGAGGCAAUUAUGAAAGAAAGCAUAGAGUUGCAGGACUUGACCAGAUAUCCCUACUAAAUUUAUAUUGUUACUAUCUACGUAAUGUCCACUUGAUUCUCACGGUCAAAGAUUUUUCGGGUACUAUAAAUUUGUCCUUUUGACCUUCUAGAAAAGAGUUUGGUAAAAAAAUAACCAUCUAGAGAAGAGUGAAAAACAUUCCAGGGAAACGAGUUAUCUUUUUCCUCUUAAUAGAUAAGGAAGUUUGUGCAUACUCUUUUCAGUUCUUUUGUAGACGGAGAAAAGGACAUUGGCAGUUGGAGUCUGGACUUCGUAAAAGUAUUUUGAAUUAUUAUCCGGUGUUGGAUUACAUGCAUAUGUACCCAUACAAAAUCAUACCCUUCCAAACCAACGAGCAUGUUCUUCAUGCGUAGCAUGUAGGCUAUCACCUAACCUAGUAAUAAAAGGACCAGUUUUGGGUUGCCAUAUUUAACCUCAAUUUUUUCAACUGUACCCCCUGAUUUUUAGGCGCGCCGUGUAGCCUUGUUUGCUGGAUUGGCUGGUGAUGGUGAUGCAUCCUUUUCAUUUAAAGGUCAUCAUUUUCAAUGCUGUAUCGUCUUUAUUUGAAGGUUAUCAUUUUCAGUGGGUCUUCGGGACAGUUUUUGUUUCGGACUGCUUUAUGCAAGUUAUUACAACUUAGAGUGGAAAUUGCAUGAGAAUCAUGACAUUUCAAGGUUUACUAGUUCCAUAUGGUUCUUGAACAGAUUCAACUUUUCGGUUGCUGUUGGAACAAUGGAAGGACCCCAAUUUUCUCCCGGCUACCUUCUCAAGGAAGUUUCUAUUGAUAAACCAUUUGAAAAAGAUGCUUGUUGCUGUCACUUCAACUUUGUCACAGAAAAAACUGGGAGCAGCAAUUCGGAUGUGGUCUUGAAGUACCAAUGGUUUGUAGGAGAAAGAACUCCUUCAAAUUUUAUUGCCAUCCCAGAGGCCACAGGAGAGGUGUACUUGCCUAAGCACGAGGACAUUGGCAUAAUUCUGAAAGUGGAGUGCACACCAGUCCUUGCUGGGACCGUGUAUCCUACAAUAUUUGCUAUUCUUCACGAGUUUCACCUGGUUUUGAAGAUUGAUGUGCGUGGGGAACUAAUGGAGGGAAACACUAUUAGGGGAUACGCUGAAGUUGCAUGGUGUGGUGGAGCUCCAGGAAAAGGGGUUGCUAGCUCCCCCAAAAGUAACAAAUUUGAAGAUAAUCGGUGACAUAAGGGAGGGAAAUAAGGUUACUGUCACCGGAGGAACUGAAUCAUCUAGCAGAGUUCAAUGGUUUAAAUCGACUUAUUCAACAUUAGAGGGUGAGAAUGGUCUUGACGCAUUCGGCACUUCAAAGAUUGCAAAGGAUUUCCGCAUACCAUUGGGAGCUGUUGGCUAUUUCGUUGUUGCAGAGUUUACUCCUAUGACUCUGAAUGGCGAGUCUGGUGAAUCGGCAUAUGUUAUAUCUGAAAGAGCAGUUGAAAGUAUUUCUACUCGAAUGCGAUGACCAACUGGUGAGGCCACAGGACUAGCAAACAACUUAGCGUUCCUGUCCCGGGCAUCCCCCUUCCCCAGUAAUUCCAUAACAUUCUUAUCCUAAAAAGGAAAGAUGAGAGAGUAUGUAAUGCAGUGAAAGGGUUUAGCUGUCCAGGGCAUCCCCCUUCCCCAGUAAUUCCAUUACAUUUCUUAUCCUAAAAAGGAAAGAUGAGAAGAGUAUGCCAUGCAGUGAAACGGUUUUGCAGUCCUUCCAAGAGGUAAAAACAACACUUGGUUGCCUGUUGCACCCUUUUGUAAGGGGGCAAGACGAAACCAUUUCGAUUUGAUUACCGGAGGCUGGCGGGGAUACUUGGCAAUUGCUGACUAGGUAAGUGGUGGAGGAUCCUUGUACACGCACACAACAAUCUAAACUCCCAAUGUGGGAGGCAGCUGAUUCCAGUUUCUUGGUCCGGGAUACAAAAAAGUGAAAACUAGAGAGAGCUUGGAGACCAGCCUUCAAAUUCAGGGAAAUUAGUUUGGAACUGACUAACUAUGAUGAGUUUUUCUUUAUGGUGGAAGUUACGAUGACGAGGAGUUCACAAAGGAAAGGGUUUAUUUUUUUGUCACUUCCGUUUGAUUCUAUUUAACAGCUCCGAGGGGACGCCCUUUGUUAAACAGCGGAGCACUUUCUUAUUGUCUGAUUAUAUGAAGCAAAUAUGCAUGGGACUAUAUAGAGAGUUUAUCGGUAGUUUUUAGCGGAGCACUGCAUUGUUGUUUGUUGUUUUCCAAACUCAGACUUGUACGCUAUGUUUGGGCUUGGGUUCACUAGAAUCAGUGAAGUUUUACUCAACGAAACCUGAUUUUACAACUUUGGCUUCUGAGUUACAGGGUUUGUUUUAAAUAAAAUGCAAGUUGC